CUCAAAUAAACACAUAAAAUGGGAGAAAUAAGGGAUUCUCUAAGUGUUUUUGUUUGUUUUAGAUGAGAGCCUCUGGAGAAGGGAAGGAGGAGGGUUUUAUCACAUUGCAUCUUCUUCCUGUGGUGGGGACUGUGACCAUUACCUUGCUGGCGCCCCAUCAGAACUUUCCAAACUGGUUGACUGUUUCUGGAAGAGGUUCAAUCAGCAAUUAAGUCAGGCACUAAAACGAGCUUGGUAUCACGGGGGCCUAGGGUCUCUCUCUUUAAAAAUCACAUUACUGAUUGUCAAUUAGCCGUUGAGACAGCUAGGUGUGUUCCCUUCCAAACCUUCUGAAACACACACACACACACACCACACACACACCCGCAGUCACAUGUCCAAUAGGUUCAGCGAGUCUCAGGUAGUGGGUGCAGGAUGUGGUGGGCAGAGGGACGGGCUGUCAUGCCUGUCACAGUGACACCAAGCGUGUUGGGGCAUCGCAGGGAUCGUCCCGCCCAAGAGGCCUGGAUCGCGGACGGGAGGAGACACGGCUAAUCGCCGGCCCUUCUCAGCCUAGAAGGUGCCGCGGGCGGCGGCGGGAGCGGGCCGAGCGGCUUCCCUACAAGCGUCAACACUGACACGCGUCCCAACCGCGCUGUGCCUGCCACUCUGUGGCUGUGCUGCGACGCCAUUGGCUGGAGAGGCCGAAGCCACGCCCCCCGAGCGCACGUAAUAUAUACGUGGGGGCGGGCCUAAAGCCGAAACCCGGAAGUCAACAGCGGCGCCGCGGCCGCCACGGAGCCGGACGGGGAGACGCUGUCGGCGCGUCCGGCUCCGGAAUCGGAGGGGCUGCGCCUCCUGCGCGUCACCGUGCGCCCCCUGCUGGCCGCAUCCUCUCACUGGCGGUCUCUCCGAAGCUCUCCGCCCGCCUGAGGGCCUCCGGGCAGAGGCGGCCGGCCCGGCGGCAGCUGCUGUGGCCCCCGAGGGACGUUGUGAGAAGGCAGGAGGCUCGAGCGGCCGCACCUGGAGGUGCAGGAAGAAGUAAACGCCCAAGGAGAAAGAAGGGCACAAGGAGAAACCAGGAAAGGUAGAGCUGCUCCCCACUCAGCACAGGCGGGGAAACACUGAGCACGGGGGCCAGUCCUGCAUCCGGCAACGCUCUCCUUGUGCGAUUUGUUCGGGGGAAGGGGGCGCAGGAGGAGGGCUUUGAGAAAUGUCUUGGGCUUAGGUUUUUGCUUGUGAGUGGCUCUCCCGGCAGCAUUUCAGCCACCGUGUGCGCGUGGCGGCUGUCAUGUGUCACGACAAGAGGACACAUUCCAUGUCAAGCUGUGGGUCUCACAUGGCCCGGCGUGCCGGGCGUCUCUUUAGGGGACGGGAGGAGAGAGCAGGGACAGGCUGUUGGGUUUCGCCCAGGGCUGAAAUGGCGUUUUGAAAGAUUUGUCGGGGGCCCUAGGGGAGGGGAAAGGAAGAACCGAGGAUGGAGGAUGAGCUGUGAGCCAGUCUGUCCCGGCGAAAGGAAAUGCAGACUGACCUGCCUCUUCCUUCCAGCGCGGAGGCUCCACCCGGCUCGGCUGGAACCCGGAACGAGGCUGCCCGGGUGCCGGUAACCCACCAGUUGGCCCUAGCCCUUUUCUGGGACUAAUUUCUUGAAGCAUAAACUAGGUCAAAAAGAAACCAUGGUGGGUGAAGGGGGUCCUCAGGGCUUACAGACUUGGAGAAGGCAGGCUGUGGUAUCUAUCGCAGGCAGGCGUUAGGCAAGUAGGGAAAAGCAAAAAGAACCAAAAGACAAUUCCUGGAAGAUUUCUCCCCCAAUAGGAAAUCGCACUAGGAGAGCAUCAGACCCCUUUGGAGGCAGAGGGUGUCGAGGGCCUGUGACCCCGUGGCUGCGAACUUUAGAAGCCUGGUGCCAGGGCGGGCGGUGACUGCAGUGGGGUGGUGGGGCAGGGGCACCCGCCCAGGUGGGGGUGCUGGUUGCUUUUAUUUGCUCCCCGAGCACCGUGCUUCCACCUGAUGCUCGCCCCCCUGCCAGUGCCGGCUGCCGGCUGCCGGCCCCGAAGCUCCCGAGGGUUUCUCCCCUGCUCCUGCUCCAGUUCCUGCCGGGCAAUUGGGGCAGUAGCUGCCACUCGCACCCGUUGCUGGUGGCCCCAAUCGCUCGGCGCUGUGCCGGUGGGAGUGGGGCUGCCAGCGGACGGGCCUGGGGGGUGACCUUGCAGCCCUCAGUUCCUUUCAAGGUGAAUGAGGUGGUGUAUUUGGCCCCUAGU